CUGGACCUGCCUCAGAGCCCUCUGUACUCAGCACACCACUCAGUGCACUCUCCUUCUCUCCCUCCCUCUCUCCCUCCCUCCCUCUCUCUCUCCUUCUUUCUCUCCGUCCCCCUCUCCCUCCCUCUCUCUCUCCUCUCUCCUCUCUCUCUCCUCUCUCUCCUCUCUCUCCUCCUCUCCCUCUCCCUCUCCCUCAGUACUGGGGAUUGAACCCAGGGAUGCUUUACCACUGAGCCACAUCCUGGGACCUUUUUCUUUUUUAUUUUGAGACAGGGUCUCGCUAAGUUGCUUAGGGCCUCUCUCAGUGGCUGAGGCUGGCCUGAAACCCGCAAUCCUCCAGCCUCAGCCUCCUAGGUGACUUGGAUUACAGGCUCGUGCCACUGUGCCCGGCGAGCUGGCAGCUAUGUCGCUAGUGGGAGGGCUGGACUGAUGGUCCUGGAUGAGGACGAGACCCUCCCCAGGAUUCUUCCUGUGUUCUGGUGACAGACAGGCUGUCUCCUUCUGUAGGAGCAAACCACAGGACUCUGCACAGGUGGACGGCUCCCAGCCCUGCACCCUUGGGUCCUGAGGCUGGCACUGCCCUGUGGCCUCCCGUAGGCCAUGGCGCUGUCUUGGACGGGGUUGGACAGAGUCUUGUGCUUACCUUCUGCACCAUGGCUCUCACCCCACGAGUCAGGGACCCAGUGGGAGGUCCCACCAAUGGUGACCCACUGGGGACAGGGGAGCCUGAGGCCUGAACCACACUCCAGUUGUUACCACCACGAGCUUGCACACAGUCCAGGAGUGAUGGUGCUCCGAGUCCCCAGUUGGUGUCCCUAGUUGGUGAU
rnacentral:lncRNA from 1 species